UCCCUAUAAGCUCAAAUGGUAAAGAAUCUGCCCACAAUGCAGGAGACCCAGGUUCAAUCCCUGGAUCAGGAA
rnacentral:tRNA from 1 species